GACGAACGCUGGCGGCAUGCCUAGUACAUGCAAGUCGAGCGAACAGAUGAAGUGCUUGCUCUGUGGGUGGCGAGUGGCGGACGGGCGAGGAAUACGUGGGAAUCUGCCCAGUCGUGGGGGAUAACGUAGGGAAACUUACGCUAAUACCGCAUGCGCCCUUUGGGGGAAAGCCGGGGAUCUUCGGACCUGGCGCGAUUGGAUGAGCCCACGUCGGAUUAGCUAGUUGGAGGGGUAAAGGCCCACCAAGGCGACGAUCCGUAGCUGGUCUGAGGGGAUGAUCAGCCACACUGGAACUGAGACACGGUCCAGACUCCUACGGGAGGCAGCAGUAGGGAAUAUUGGACAAUGGGCGCAAGCCUGAUCCAGCCAUGCCGCGUGAGUGAAGAAGGCCCUCGGGUUGUAAAGCUCUUUUGUUGGGGAAGAAAAGCCUUGGGUUAAUACCCUGAGGUUCUGACGGUACCCAAAGAAUAAGCACCGGCUAACUUCGUGCCAGCAGCCGCCGUAA
rnacentral:rRNA from 1 species